GACGAACGCUGGCGGCGCGCUUAACACAUGCAAGUCGAACGGAAAGGCCUGCUUUCCCUUGUGGACUGCGGGUACUCGAGUGGCGAACGGGUGAGUAACACGUGAGUGAUCUGCCCCCAACUUGGGUAUAAGCCUGGGAAACUGGGUCUAAUUCCCGAUAGGACUGCAGGGUGGUGCCUGUGGUGGACAACGAUUUUCUAGUGGUUGGGGAUGAGCUCGCGGCCUAUCAGCUUGUUGGUGGGGUAAUGGCCUACCAAGGCGGCGACGGGUAGCCGGCCUGAGAGGGUGGACGGCCACAUUGGGACUGAGAUACGGCCCAGACGCCUACGGGAGGCAGCAGUGGGGAAUAUUGCACAAUGGGCGGAAGCCUGAUGCAGCGACGCCGCGUGGGGGAUGACGGCCUUCGGGUUGUAAACUCCUUUCGACCGCGAGGAAGCCACCUGGAUGGAAGGGUGGUGACGGUAGUGGUAGAAGAAGCACCGGCUAACUACGUG
rnacentral:rRNA from 1 species